UCUCUCAUUGUCUUUAAAUUGUGACAGCUUAAUUAAAAUGUGUCUUGGUGUGGGUUUCCUUGAAUUCGUCUUAUUGGGAACUCUAUGGGCUUCCUGGAUCGGGAUAGUUCUUUCCCAGCUCCUCUAAUUGGAUGAAUCCCAUUGUACUGUCUUCAAAUUUGGUGUAUCCAGAGAAGAAAGUGAGUUCAGGAGCCUUCUAUAUCACUAUUUUAGACCUGAACUUGGGGUCUGAUCAGCAUGCACCUGGGAAAUGCCAAGGAUAUAUCAUAGUCAAGGGCCUAGAAGUUGUAAGGUGCUACCAUCACGUGUAUCUGGAAGCAAACCUCGGUUCUGACUUCAGGGAAGGAUAUCUUAGCAAUGAUUUUUUGGAUGUCAAAUCAAAAUGUAACAAAAGCAAAAAUAAGUAAGUGGGACAUCACACUGAAAUUCUUCUGCGCAGCAAAGGAAGCAGCCAACAAAAUGGAAAGGCAACCAACCUAUGAAAUGGGAGGAAAUAUUUGCAAAUCCUGUAUCUGACAAGGGGUUAAUAUAGAAGUUAUAUAAAGAACUCAU